UACACUCCUACGGGAGGCAGCAGUGGGGAAUUUUGGACAAUGGGCGAAAGCCUGAUCCAGCAAUGCCGCGUGAGUGAAGAAGGCCUUCGGGUUGUAAAGCUCUUUUGUCAGGGAAGAAACGGUGAAAGCUAAUAUCUUUUGCUAAUGACGGUACCUGAAGAAUAAGCACCGGCUAACUACGUGCCAGCAGCCGCGGUAAUACGUAGGGUGCAAGCGUUAAUCGGAAUUACUGGGCGUAAAGCGUGCGCAGGCGGUUUUGUAAGUCUGAUGUGAAAUCCCCGGGCUCAACCUGGGAAUUGCAUUGGAGACUGCAAGGCUAGAAUCUGGCAGAGGGGGGUAGAAUUCCACGUGUAGCAGUGAAAUGCGUAGAUAUGUGGAGGAACACCGAUGGCGAAGGCAGCCCCCUGGGUCAAGAUUGACGCUCAUGCACGAAAGCGUGGGGGGCAAACAGGAUUAGAAACCCCAGUAGUCCCAUG
rnacentral:rRNA from 1 species